rnacentral:rRNA from 1 species
UGGGGAAUUUUGGACAAUGGGCGCAAGCCUGAUCCAGCAAUGCCGCGUGCAGGAUGAAGGCCUUCGGGUUGUAAACUGCUUUUGUACGGAACGAAACGGCUCUGGUUAAUACCUGGGGCUAAUGACGGUACCGUAAGAAUAAGCACCGGCUAACUACGUGCCAGCAGCCGCGGUAAUACGUAGGGUGCGGGCGUUAAUCGGAAUUACUGGGCGUAAAGCGUGCGCAGGCGGUGAUGUAAGACAGAUGUGAAAUCCCCGGGCUCAACCUGGGACCUGCAUUUGUGACUGCAUCGCUGGAGUGCGGCAGAGGGGGAUGGAAUUCCGCGUGUAGCAGUGAAAUGCGUAGAUAUGCGGAGGAACACCGAUGGCGAAGGCAGCCUCCUGGGCCAGUACUGACGCUCAUGCACGAAAGCGUGGGGAGCAAACA